UACGUAGGGUGCAAGCGUUAAUCGGAAUUACUGGGCGUAAAGCGUGCGCAGGCGGUUUUGUAAGUUUGUCGUGAAAGCCCCGGGCUCAGCCUGGGAAUUGCGAUGAAGACUGCAAGGCUAGAGUGUGUCAGAGGGGGGUAGAAUUCCACGUGUAGCAGUGAAAUGCGUAGAUAUGUGGAGGAACACCGAUGGCGAAGGCAGCCCCCUGGGAUAACACUGACGCUCAUGCACGAAAGCGUGGGGAGCAAACAGG
rnacentral:rRNA from 1 species